rnacentral:rRNA from 1 species
CCGCGACGGGUGAGUAACGCGUAUGCAACUUGCCUAUCAGAGGGGGAUAACCCGGCGAAAGUCGGACUAAUACCGCAUGAAGCAGGGAUCCCGCAUGGGAAUAUUUGCUAAAGAUUCAUCGCUGAUAGAUAGGCAUGCGUUCCAUUAGGCAGUUGGCGGGGUAACGGCCCACCAAACCGACGAUGGAUAGGGGUUCUGAGAGGAAGGUCCCCCACAUUGGUACUGAGACACGGACCAA